rnacentral:rRNA from 1 species
UACAGAGGGUGCGAGCGUUAAUCGGAAUUACUGGGCGUAAAGGGCGCGUAGGCGGUUAAAUAAGUUAGAUGUGAAAUCUCCGAGCUUAACUUGGGAACUGCAUAUAAUACUGUUUAGCUAGAGUAGAAUAGAGGGGAGUGGAAUUUCCGGUGUAGCGGUGAAAUGCGUAGAUAUCGGAAAGAACACCAGUGGCGAAGGCGGCUUCCUGGAUUCAUACUGACGCUGAGGCGCGAAAGCAUGGGGAGCAAACAGG